GCCGUCCUUCAGAGCAACACAGUCCACAGGGACAAUGACUUUAAUCACUAUCUUCAUCUGGAUCCUCACCCUCUGCAUCCAAGAAUCCAGAAGCCAGAUUACUGUGACUCAGACACCUGCAGUAAAAGUUGUUUCUGUAGAAGAAACUGUGGCCAUUGAUUGUAAAACCAGCAGUCUUACAACAUACUGUAGCGAUUGUGUAUCAUGGUACCGACAAAGGACUGGAGAGCCGCCUGAACUCCUCAUCUAUGAUAUAAGCAGCCGUGAGUCUGGGACUCCAGAACGAUUCACUGGCAGUGGAUCUGACUAUGGGUCUGACUUCACUCUGACCAUCAGUGGAGUCCAGGCUGAAGAUGCAGGAGAUUAUUACUGUCAGAGUGCUCACUACAUUAGUGACAGCUGGGUGUUCACACAGUGAUACAGAGCCGUACAAAAUCCUCCCUCAGUCAGACUGCACAGUGACUGCACUGCUGCAGCUGUGACUCACUG